GGAGGAGUUGAUGUAGCAGGUAGAGUGCAUGCUUUGUAUGUAUGAUGUCGAGGGUUCAAUCCCCAGCUUCUCCC